AAUGAACGCUGGCGGCAUGCCUAACACAUGCAAGUCGAACGAGACCUUCGGGUCCAGUGGCGCACGGGUGCGUAACGCGUGGGAACCUGCCCUUAGGUUCGGAAUAACUCCCCGAAAGGGGUGCCAAUACCGGAUAAUGUCUUCGGACCAAAGAUUUAUCGCCUUUGGAUGGGCCCGCGUUGGAUUAGCUAGUUGGUAGGGUAAGAGCCUACCAAGGCGACGAUUCAUAGCUGGUCUGAGAGGAUGGUCAGCCACCCUGGGACUGAGACACGGCCCAGACUCCUACGGGAGGCAGCAGUGGGGGAUAUUGGACAAUGGGCGAAAGCCUGAUCCAGCUAUGCCGCGAGAGUGAUGAAGGCCUUAGAGUUGUAAAGCUCUUUUACCCGGGAUGAUAAUGACAGUACCGAGAGAAUAAGCUCCGGCUAACUCCGUG
rnacentral:rRNA from 1 species